rnacentral:sRNA from 1 species
UGAUGCAAGGUCAGAAAGUAUAUAAGCCUUUCAUGUUUACAUGAAAAAGGCUUAUAUACUUUAUUGACCGCUAAAACAUGAGGAAGUAGCAAUUUGCUUGCAGAGAAAGCAAAUUAGCGGAUUCCGAAUGUUUUUAGGAUUGUGAGAGUUGCGCAGCAACGGAACAAUCUGUUAGCAUCA